CGGGCGUGAGCGCUGCUCAAUUUCCGUGGGUGAAAUUGCUUAGGGAAUCUCCGGUAGCUAAGAUCGUUGAUACCCCCCUCUCUCAUAUUUCUGAGGAUGUUUAUAAGGCAUCAGUUGACUGGAUUAAUAAACGUUCUCUUGAGGCGCUCAACUCUUUCGUUUUGUGGUCUUUAGAUAGCAUUCUCGCUGACUUUGCGAGCCAACAAGCUAGUACCAAAGGCUCUAAAAAGGGAGUACAACAUGCUUCGUCAAAAUCUCAGGUUGCCAUAUUUGUGGUCCUAGCUAUGGUAUUGCGAAGAAAACCUGAUAUCUUAAUUCACGUAUUGCCAACAAUAAGGGAAAACUCUAAGUAUCAAGGACAGGAUAAGCUUCCAGUACUUGUCUGGAUGAUAGUUCAGGCUUGUCAAGCAGAUCUUGCAAUAGGACUUUACGCUUGGGCACAUAACCUUUUGCCCAUAGUUAGUGGUAGAAGUUGUAAUCCCCAGUCUAGAGAUCUAAUUUUGCAGCUAGUG
rnacentral:misc_RNA from 1 species